rnacentral:rRNA from 1 species
UAGGGAAUCUUCCACAAUGGGCGAAAGCCUGAUGGAGCAACGCCGCGUGUGUGAUGAAGGGUUUCGGCUCGUAAAACACUGUUGUAAGAGAAGAAUGACAUUGAGAGUAACUGUUCAAUGUGUGACGGUAUCUUACCAGAAAGGAACGGCUAAAUACGUGCCAGCAGCCGCGGUAAUACGUAUGUUCCAAGCGUUAUCCGGAUUUAUUGGGCGUAAAGCGAGCGCAGACGGUUAUUUAAGUCUGAAGUGAAAGCCCUCAGCUCAACUGAGGAAUUGCGUUGGAAACUGGAUGACUUGAGUGCAGUAGAGGAAAGUGGAACUCCAUGUGUAGCGGUGAAAUGCGUAGAUAUAUGGAAGAACACCAGUGGCGAAGGCGGCUUUCUGGACUGUAACUGACGUUGAGGCUCGAAAGUGUGGGUAGCAAACAGG